GGAGAUCCUCUGGAUGUUGCAAGUGGAGAGGGUACUCUGGGUGCUGUGGAGGUCGGGGCUGUUUCGGAUGGCAAUCCACUUUCCGAAUCGGGGGUGCCAGUGUACCACGGGCCCUGGGGGCGCCUCUUGUUUUUUCUUCUCCAGGCCCAUACUUGGAGGGUGAUGGGAGAGUGCAGGAGCCCAGCCAUUCAGUGGGCUGCUUGUUGCAGUCAGGGGAUUCGGGACCUUUCCCCGGCAUUGAUCCUGGGGGUGGUGUCAUGCCGGAGGAGGGGGAGAGUGACGAGGCCAGUUUGUGUAGUGGGGUCAGUGAAUUUUCAGAGAGUUCUGGUCUUUCGAUUUCUGACAACGACCUUGAGCGCUGCAGUGGCAAGCUGGUUG